rnacentral:sRNA from 1 species
CUUCUUGCAUCCUCGCGACUAAUGACAACCUUAACCCUGGCGGGUAAAGCCUCUCAUUAGCCGCGCGAACCUCUGCAAUGAAGAUCAUUUAUUGCAACAAUACAAACAAUACAUGAGUUUCCGGCGAAUUGCUGCCAUCUGGUUGAAAAAAGGGGCCGUGAAGGCCCCUCUUU